AAUACAAAGGAGCUGCCUGUGAUGUGUGACGCAACAGCUGGAGCGAGGACCUCUGGAGAUCGGGCAUGUGUGCACAGGAACACGCACGCACAUGAGCUCUCUUAGCCCUGUCAGGAGGGCCAGUGUGCCCUAAUUGGUGUGGUACCUUAGGCCACACCAAUACUGGAACUUGUUUUCCUGAGAGUCUGCGCAGGCCAAGUGCACGGCUAAAGGCCUUCAAGGCUCCUACCCGAAAGAAACCCAGGACUGAUCUGUGAGUAGCAGUUGUAAGCCUCAUUUUACACACGAGGGAAUGGAGGCUCACAGAACCCAGAGGACCUGCCUAAGGAGUGCGGUGGACCCGCUGCCUGAAUCCAGCCCGGCCCAGCCCUCUAUGCUCUUCCACGUGACCUUGAAACAUCCUUAGGUGCUCUGCCCCUCAUUUUCCCAGUCAGUGGGGCUGAUCAAGCGCGAUGAAGUACUAGAAACGCCGGAGACUGCAGGAAGCAGUCUCGCCAGUGGAAAUCCUACAUGCUUGGUAAAAUAACUGAAUGACCUAAUGAGCUUCGAGACUGGGACUGGUGUGUGACAGACUGCGUCCCUCCUACCACAUUUCCUGUGCAUUUCCCUGCCUGUAGCAUGAUGUCUGGGGUGCCUCAGGAUGCCAAAAUGAAGAGCUUUAUUGCGAUGAUGCCAGUGGCCCCAGGUCGCACAGCCGAUGGUGGCAGACCAAGGCUUCAGCCCAGGCUGGGUCUUUCCUCUCUGCAGGCCACAGGAAGUGCCUCCUUCUCCACACCACAGGUCCCUCUUGCUGGCCAGCAGUUGCCCAGCCUGCCUGCUCUCCUGUGUCUGGGGGCCGUGGCAGGCAGGGCCUCUGCUGACAUGGAUUGCAGGGUACAGCCAUUGACAGACACAUGAGCACCUGCCUCUGAGGGAAGGAGUCUCGAGCCAAGACCUUCUGAUGCCGGAGAGCAGCAGCUCCAGGUUGGGUCAUAGAGUGGCCACACUGGGAACCCAGGCUCAUCAUCAGAAUAAGAAAAGGACGUGCCUUGGGGAACAGAGUAAGGGGGAACAAUGAUGAAUUCGCUCCCACUGCACAUAGGUGCUCUGAGGAUUCAUUAUGGUGCCGUCUCAUUCCGUUCUCUAACAACCUAGUAAGAAAGGUCCUGAUUUGAUCCCUGUUAGCAGAAGAGGAAAUGAGGCACAGAGGCAGUGAUUUUCCCAAGGCCACACAGUUAACAUGGCAGAGGUAGGGUUCAACCCAGGCCUGUGAUAGCUUUGCCACCGCAUUAUUCCCUGCACUGGGAACAUGGCUAUGAAAGGGACUUACCUGCAGGCAGAGCUAGAAGAGACGUCUGGGGAGGGAGGAGCCAUUGUUCCCAUGAGUCAGGGGCCCUCAGCUCCAGGCCAACAGCCGGUCUGGCCCUGGCAGCUUCUGCCACCCACCUGGUAUGGCCAGAGGCCUGAAGGUGCUUCAGCAAGUUUAGUCAGCCCAGGUGAGCGGCAAGCAGGCACCCAUCAGGAGGUCCACCUCCACCCCCUGCACUUCUGAUGAGAAAACAACCUAAGUACGAUGUCUGGCCUCAGUCCUGAGCCUCUGCCCAAGGCGCAUUACUCAGUGUGCCCCUGGACGCAUUGCCCCCUGGGAGGGACCGCCAGUUCGGCUGGCCUGUGGGCCAUGUGUCUAAGCAGGUGUGUGCAGGAGGAGCUGAACAGUACCCAGUCAUUCACAUCCAGCUCUGUGGCCUUAGGGAGUGGCCCCAGGCUUCCUUUGCCUGAGUAUAAUGAGUUGCAUGUCAGCCCUUUCUUUGGAAGGCUUGCCUAUGAAGCACUGUGAGUUUGGCACUAGACCUUAUGGGGACCCAGGCAUUCAGGGACAUCAGGCUGGGCCCGGGGCACCUCCAGCCUUGUACGUUAAAUAAGAAUAAAGUUAUUUGGCUUCACUUUAAAAUUAAAAUUAUGUUCUUUUGAGAAAAUUUGGAAAACAGUGAAAUAAAAGAAAAAUAGUUUACCCAGGGAUGAGAACGGGGUUCAUUUCUUCUCAGCCCUUCAUAUGUGUGUAUUGAAUGCCUUUGCAUAAUUGACACAAUUGUCCCCUCUACUGUGGAUGGAGUGCCCCCAGCUUCCCUGGGCCUCAUUCAUUUACCUGCACCUCAGCCUGAGACUUGCCUGAUUGCAAAGCCCCAGUUCUGUACAUACUCUUAUAAUUCCAAGUCUUCUACCUAACAUCUCAUCAGAGGUAUUUCCCCUGUGAUGAGAAAUUCUCUGUAAACAUCACGUUGAACAUCAUUACGUUACUCCCUUGAGUGGCAGUACCACACACACAAAAUCCUGCCUCUGGGCUGGGCAUCAGAGUUAUUUCUAAUCCCUCGCCAUUAUUAGCACCUUCGAUCAACUACUCUGGCUACAAAUAUGUAUUUUGGGUUCUUUCCCUCAAGCAGCUGAUCAGAGGUGGGAUUAUGAGAUCAGAGGGUGGGGGCACCCCAUUUGAGUGCCUGAUUUCACUUGGCUGGGCAGACGAGCCAUGGCCCAGCCCCCACCCCCCCAUCCCUAGGGCAGAGGUGAGAAAGUGGCUUCAGAGGGUCCACCUGGCCCAGCAUGGAGCCCCUGUUUUGAUGCUGAGCACACAGCUGAGUUUUUCCUGGGGAGCAGGUGAGGUGCCAACUGCCAUGCCUCUGGCCUAUUAGAAGAGGAGUCUCAGAGAGGCAAAGCCACUUACCCAAGGUCACACAGCCAGGGCCAGAUCUCACACAGGGUUUGCAAAGCACCUACCACGAAUUCUUCAGACAUUCCAG
ensembl:lncRNA